AAGUGCGAAAACGAAGGAAAAUAAAUGGAUUAGGGAAAAAUCAAGAAAAAGAAAAAGAAGAGAAAGAUGGAAAAACUUAGAGAAUUUCGGCAAGAGGAAAUGGAGAAUAAUAAACGGUAAAAUGUUUCUGGAAAAGGGAGUCAAAUUUCGGAUAUGGGAAAAAAUAAAAUAAAAUCUCGAUAACCCCCAAAAUCUCUUAAUCUUCUCCCCCAAUUCCCACUACACAUCCACUACUCAGAAUCCCCCUAUUACACAAAUCUAUCCCGAAAUCUGAGCAAAAAAAAGUAAUACCCCUACCUACAUAAGGAUUCGAACACAAGACCUCCACCAUAAUAACACACCAUUUAACC
rnacentral:lncRNA from 1 species